GACGUAGGGCGCGAGCGUUGUCCGGAUUUAUUGGGCGUAAAGAGCUCGUAGGCGGCUUGUCGCGUCGAAUGUGAAAACUCGGGGCUCAACUCCGAGCUUGCAUUCGAUACGGGCAGGCUAGAGUUCGGUAGGGGAGACUGGAAUUCCUGGUGUAGCGGUGAAAUGCGCAGAUAUCAGGAGGAACACCGGUGGCGAAGGCGGGUCUCUGGGCCGAUACUGACGCUCAUGCACGAAAGCGUGGGGAGCAAACAGG
rnacentral:rRNA from 1 species